rnacentral:lncRNA from 1 species
UUCAUAAUACUCUACUGUUUAGUUUCUCUUCUUCAUUUUUUUCCCCUUUGAAGUCUUUCAACAAAAAUGGGUGGCAUCAUCUCAACCUUCUUCUCAGCGGACACAAUUCGUCCAAUUUUAUUUUACGUCGGUGGACGAGCAAAGUAUAUAUGGGGUCUUAAAGGUAAUCUCGAUGACUUGCAAACUGAAACGGAGAACUUGAUUGCGAAAAAACUAGAUCUACUGAAUAAGGUUAGGCUUGCCGAACAACAACAGCCUCGUGCCCAACGGACGAGCACGGUGAAACUCUGGUUCGAAAGGGUGGAUCGAAGUGUAACUCUUGUUGAGGGGCUGCAACAAGAAAGAGAUCAAGAGAUUGACAGAUUGUGUCUUGGAGGCUUCUGUUCCAAGGACUUGAUUUCAAGCUACGACUUCGGCAAAAAGGUGGAGAAGUUGAAGGAAGAAGUAAUCAAAUUGAGGGAAAAAGGAGAAGCAAUGAAAGAAGUUUAUGAGGGGUUACCAGAAGGUGCAGCGGUUGCAAUAGCUGUUGACCGAACAAUUGUUGGUCAAGAAUCAAUACUUGACCAAGUUUGGAGAUGCAUCACUGAUCAAAAAAAGAAUAAUGGAAUUAUUGGCUUAUAUGGUAUGGGGGGCAUCGGCAAAACUACUCUGUUAAAACAAGUCAAUAACAAAUUCUGCAGUGAGGAGCAUGAUUUUGAUGUCGUUAUCUGGUCGGUUGUAUCUAGAGAGCCAAACUUGAAGCAGAUUCAAGAGGAUAUUGGGAAAAGGAUAGGCUUCUCAACAGAUUCAUGGCAGAGAAAAAGGUUUGAAGAAAGGGCUUCAGACAUCACCAACACUUUAAAGCAUAAGAAGUUUGUAUUGUUAUUGGAUGAUAUAUGGGAGUCCGAAAUUGAUUUAACCAAAUUGGGCGUCCCUCUUCAGACACUAGAUUCUGGGUCCAGAAUAGUCUUCACAACUCGUUUUGAGGGUACUUGUGGUAAAAUGGGAGCCCAUAAGAAUCGGUACAAAGUGUUUUGUUUGGGAGAUGACGAUGCCUGGAAAUUAUUUGAGGGGGUGGUCGGGAGAUACGUUCUUAACAAGCAUCCCGACAUUCCGAAGUUAGCCGAGGAUGUGGCACGUCAGUGUCAUGGUUUGCCGCUAGCACUCAAAACAGUAGGUAAUGCCAUGGCGAGCAAAGUGUACCCUGAAGAAUGGAAAGAAGCAAUUGAGAUCCUAAGCGCAUCAGCUUCUAAAUUCGAAGAUAUGGAGAAAAAGGUGCUUUCGAGCUUAAAGUUCAGCUAUGAUAGUUUGCCGAAAGAUGAACUUCGAUCUUGUCUCCUGUACUGUUGCUUAUUUCCCGAAGACUCUGAAAUUCUAAAAACCGAGUUGAUAGAGUAUUGGAAAAGUGAAGGAUUUGUGCAUUCUAGCAGCGGGUGGGGGGUUCUUGGUGCUCUCGUUCGUGCAUGCUUAUUGGAGGAAGCAGGUGAUCGUGUAAAAAUGCACGAUAUGAUCCGUGACAUGGCAUUAUGGAUAGCAAAUGAAGUAGAGGAGGAGGAGGAGAACUUUUUGGUUCGUGCAGGAGUUGGAUUAACUGACGCCCCAAAGAUUGAAGAAUGGGAAGGGGUCAAAAGGAUAUCCUUGAUGCAGAACAAAAUUCAAAGUCUACCACAAAUUCCCUCUUGUCCGCGUCUGCAAACAUUGCUUCUGGCGAGUAAUCGUAUUAAGGAGAUCACUGAGAGUUUCUUUCAAUCUUUGCCUUCACUUAGAGUUUUGAGUCUAAGAAGAAAUCGUUCCCUGACUGAACUUCCUGUGGGGAUUUCAAGUCUGGUUUCAUUACACCAUCUUGAUAUGUCUUCUACUAAAGUACGUGGAUUGCCGCAAGAGCUCAAGGCAUUGGUGAAUCUGAGAUAUUUGAACUUGGAGUAUACACGUGGAAUGUCUAGAAUUCCACAGCAAUUAAUAUCAAGCUUUUCAAAGUUACAGGUACUCAGGAUGCUGCGUUGCGGUCGACGUUACCAGCCAAUAGUGGAAGAAGGCAACGUUCUAUCUGCUGAUGCUGAAUCAUUGAUGAAGGAAAUCCACUGUUUGGAACAAUUAAAUCUCAUCACCUUGUCCUUACAUGGUUCGCGUGGUGUUGAAAACUUUCUGAAAUUCCCAAAGCUGCAGAAUAUCACUCAAGCUCUGUCCAUCGAAGACUGCAACAGUCUACCGCUCAAUUUGUUACAUCUAGCAAACAUGGAGCAUCUUGAGGAGUUAUAUAUCGAGGAUAGUAAUUUGGAAGACUGGAAUGUCGACUGCGCGGGAGAGGUACAAAAAAUGCGUAAACUUCACUCGGUUCUCAUACGGAAUUGCUCAAAUGUGAAGGACUUGACGUGGCUUGUUUUUGUUCCAAAUCUCAAGUGGCUGCGAAUAGUUGGUUGUGAUGACAUGGAAGAAAUAAUCAGUGUUGAAAAAUUUGAAAAAUUGAGUGAAGUUUCAGAGAUGAUGGGAGAGCUUAACUUGUUCUCAGAACUCGAACUUCUGGUAAUAAGAAAUGCAAGUAAUUUGGAGCGCAUCUACCGCGAUCCCUUGCCCUUUCCACAGCUGAACCGAAUUAGCAUAUUGAAAUGCCCAAAGUUGAAGAAGCUCCCACUCAAUUCCAGCAGCGCAAAGGGACGUAAAAUUGCCCUUGCGGGACAGAAAGAAUGGUGGGAAGAGCUACAAUGGGAGGAUCAAGCCACUCAAAAUGCUUUCUCUCCCUGUUUCCGACCUAUUGAAGAAUAAAGUGCGAUAAGGCACAAAAGUGUGAAUAAAAUUUCUGCGCGUGCUUAAUGAUUAUCUUGUCUAUCUAUUUCAUUUAAUUUAAAAGUUUUCUACGGAGUUGCAUGUGUGUCACUUGUCAUUCUUCUGUACUGCUGUUUCCUAUUUCCAGUUAAUAAAAUUUUUUUGUUCUUAGAGUUAGAAAUGCUUUACUUGUAAGGGAGAUUCACAAUUUUCCCAUAUUAUGAUUAAUAUAUUCUUUUUACUUUCCUACUAUUUUGCAUAAUUUUUUAAUAUUAUUUUUAUUUCUAAAUAUAUUUUUAUUCAUAUUUAUUAUAAAUUAAAUAAAUGUAUGAAUAGAAAUAAAAAUAAAAAUAAAAAUUAAGUAUUAAAACAAGAAAUAUAUAUUAUGAUUUGAAUAAAAAAUAAAUAUUUUUUUGUACUUAGAAUGCCAUUUGUCGUGAGCACCUGAAUCCCCAAAGGACUCCCAGCUUCAAGUGGCUUUGACUUAGCUUGCUUUAGCUCCAUUGCACAUACUCACUCACAUGGAGGAAAUGAACAGAACAAGAAACCUCAUCAUGCCGAAUAUGAUAGAUAUGACAAGGCAUUACAUUGUAGGAAGCUCCCGAUUUCUCUAAAAAACUCUGCAGGUUCUCCGCAAUCAAGGCGUGCUCCAUCUUUAACAGAUCACUUCUACCAUUAAGAGAAGGAAGAGAGUUCCUCUCGUGUGACAGUAAAUCCUUACUUAACACAGGAUUGGAGCCAACCAAGAAGGGAAGGCAAUUUCGUUAGAUUAAGAAUCGAAUCACCAUCCAAUAUAGUAGCAUUUGAACCAGAACUCUUGUUAAAUUCUUGAAAUCUCCUGCUUUCAUCAGUCUGUAAGAGAAAUGAAGAUGAGAAUAAUAGCCAGAACCGGAUUAAAUUCAAUCUGGUCUUUUGAAGACUUCUAUAACAACUAAGAGAACCCAGUGUACCGCCUACAGAUACUGUCAGGCUUCUAUCAAAUAUCCCAAACACCAAAAACCAACCAAAUUAAGCUAACAAACCUGCAUGAAUAUCUAAAUUUCAAUGCAUAUGAAACAAACUCCAUGUUCAAUCCACCAAAACUAGCAAAUUUCAAACUUUAUCACUCAUCAUUCUCUCUCUGUCAGCUGUACGAGGCUAUGAGAUCAUGUUAUAAUGUUCAUAUUGAUGCUGAAUGUUUUGCCAGCUUGUCUGAAUUCCAUAAGAGAAUGCAAUGUGCACAUUAUUGUGCCUUGCCCACCAGUAGAUUCUAAACCACAAAAUCAUUCUGUGAAGUAGCUGACGUUUCGCACAUUCUUAUCCCUUACCAUCAAUAUUCUUCUCCUCAAGCUUAGAUCAUGGAAAUUUGAGUGAUAACACGAUCUAAACUUUAGGGGCAUAAAGUAACAUAGAAGCAACAUGGGAUGUUUUAAAAUCUAUUAUAAUUUGCUUAGGCCCCUGAAUAAAAUUAAAACUUGAAAUGAAAUAAAGUAGCAAAAUAAAGAUUGGAGGUCGCAUGCUUGAUAUUUGAUGCUGUCAAAAUUAAUUUGCAGUGCUGAAAUUGCUGCUCCAAUAAAUUUUUCAAUGGGAUUUCCAUAUUUACAACAAAUUUUCAGUAUUGAAACAGGAUUAAAAUCAUAAAGUGUCUUUUAAACAGCAGAGGCAACAAGAUCCUACAGAAAAAGAAGGCAAAAAGUAGUUACAAGCUACAGAAACGCAAAUAUUCUACUGGCCAACUCCCACUAAAUUCGAAGCGAUUCUAAAAUCUCAGCUUGUACUACUACAUCAUUCCUUCUAUGUAGCCCAACUGUACUUCACCCAGAAAUCACAUUUCUUCAUCAGAGAUAAUUUUACAUCAUUCCUUAUCAUUAGGCAUAAGGCUCCCAAUGUUCUUGGAGGAAUUAUGAUGAAUAUGAGGGUUUCAAAAAAGAAAAAAAAAUAUUAUGACAACCUCUAGGCGGAGGAAAUCAGUUUUCUAGGAAUUCGUUAGAUUGGUGAAGUUAUAGAACCUUAGCAAUUUGCUGUAGUUUGGAAUGUUUUUGCCUUUCAUUAUAGCAUUUGCAAAGGCUCAAGGAUAUAGAAGAACCUUGGCUACAAAUUCAGGGAAGAUUUCACUUAUAAUGAGAAAUAAUCACCAUUAUUCUAUACAAUGAGAAAACAGUUAUGGAAGAAAUAGAAAGAAUUACCCGAAACGAAGGAUUUGGAAGACAAUGAGACAAAAGUAUAAAGAAGAAGAAAUUGGAGAUAUAAUGGCUGCCAAUUUCUUUGAUGAACCCAUCAAAAACGGCUUGAAAAUUAAAGAAAUUGUCAAAUGCUGUAACGGAGGAAUUGAAACUGUAAAAGAUGCAAGUUAAUUCAUGGGGCUGGCCAUCUUGAUUGAUUGAACACCUACACGUGACAAGUGUGCGAUAAUCGUUAUAUCUUCAAUUUUAGGCAGUUUUUCAUUUCUUUUAUUUUAAUAGUAAAAAAAUACGCCAUUUUAGAUACAAAUGCCCCUGACUAGCCCUUUUGUAAGUUACAUUGUUUGGUGCGAUAGUCCCGCACGUGCUUGACAUUUGCCGAAUAUCUUAUGCGCAUUUUUUUUCCCCUCUAACUCAUUGUGUAUGCUCAUCUUUAUGUGCGUUAUUACCUAAACUUAUAUACCAAUCAAAAUAAAUCAUAAAGUAUCAAACGCUUUUAAAUGAUUUUUAAUAUUAAAGAACUCACUUUAAUGAUGUUUAAUUGGUAGUAGCCCUUUAUAGUCUUUAAACCUUUAGCAGUGCAAAGUCACAAGCUUUGUCCAGAAUCUAAUGGCGUAGAUUAUAGGCGAUGGGUGCCAUCACCUGGGCAACGACGUACAUCGCUUGGGCGACAAGCCAAUUUACUAGGCUCAUCGCAAACAGCCUUCGUCGCCUGGGCGAUGGCCAAAUCCAUCCAAUAAACUUUCAGCUCAUGUUUGAUAGCCUAAAAAAAGUAGUUAUGGUGACCAUCACACAUCACAUUUUACUGACAAGGUGUCUUAAUUUUCAUAGAAAAUUGUUCCUACUGAUUUUCCAAUCCUGGCCUAAUACUUGCAGAUUAUUAAACGAUUAUGGAAUGGCAGCAAACCGGCGCCGCGGAGGGGGGCCGGCCCGGGGUUGUUGUGCUGAUUUGGGAGGGGUAAUAAACCCUCUGAGGCAAUUUAGCAAACAUAUUAUGUGCCAUGAUUUUAGACCAGUAAUUUUGUCAAUAAUAGCUAAUUCGCAAUCCCAUUACAAAUCUAAUAAUCUAUUGCAUACACGCUCUUGAUGACUUGGAUUCUCAAAAAAUAAUCAUUUUACGCCGCUGAGGCGCAGAAAAAUCAAUUGUGUUGUCCCUUUAUACUUUUUCAUUUGUUUUGCCCACGUCCAAAUAAAACAGAUUCUGGUAAAUGUGAUAAGGAAAUGUUUGUUUCAAUUUCCAACCCAUAUCUCAUAAAGAAUUUCUCACUCAAAUAAAUAAAUAUUAUCCGGUAAUGGUAUGACAUUUAUUUUGAAGUAAACACCGGCACGCCAUUUUCUCAUUUUUUUCAUUUUUUGAGGACACCAUUUUCUCAAUUGAAGAAUAUAUUUUGGCCAAAAUUCACAAUGUUCUCCACAUGAUUUAAAGCACACAGAAUUCACACUUGUCUCCACAUGAUUUAAAAGCACAAGGAAUUCUCUUGACCUUAAUUACGAAUCUUUUUAUGUUUAUUGAAAUCCAAUAUUGUUGACUCAUUGGUGUAGCCAGAAAAUCAUAUUAAUAUAGUAGAAUUUAUAAAUAACCAAAGAAAAAAGUUCACGCUCUUACUUUAUUACUUUUAUAAUUUUAUUAGUACAUCUACUAACAUGUCUUCAUAAAAUAUAGUUUUAAGAGGAUAUUUUUAUGGUUGUAGAUAUUUUUAUUUUUCUUCUUAAUAAUAGAUUUAAUUUUCAUCUUUCUAAUGUUAAGUUGCACAUUUGGACUAAAUCAGAUUAAAUUUCAAAUUAGAUGACAGGCCUUAUUUUAAUAGAUUCAAUUGGAUUUUGGACAUCUAAUUAAACAACUGGAUUAAUAAAUUGCAAAUGAAUGAGAUUUAUAUGUGAUUUUAAAAUAAAAUUUGAACUUAAAUCUAUGUAUUCAAUUAAUCCAACAAGACAAAUUUAUAAUUUCUACCACCUAAAUAAAAUAUGUUAUCAGAAACUUUUGGACCAAGUAGGGGCAGUUCAUCACUUCGUCGGCCUGCUACUACUUAUACUCCUUUCUCAUUCAACUUUCACAUCUUUUAUAUUAUAUACAAACUAGAUUUGUCAUGCAAGUAUUUGACAGAAGAAAUCUCAUUGGAAAUCGGACAACUUCAAGAAAUUCAUUUAUUGAAUUUGUCACAUAAUUGCUUGUCGGUUUAUAAACCAAAAAGGUAUUCCAAAUUAAAAGUGGUAGAGAGCCUAGACUUUUCUUACAACAGAUUAAGUGGUAGAAUUCCUCCUUAAUAGACUGAGCUCAAUUUUUUGAUCUGUCUUCAAGACGUCAUACAACAACUUGUCCAACCUGAUACCAAACAAAGAGCAGUUUGCCACAUUCAAUGAAGGCAGUUAUGGAGGAAAUCUGCAUCUUUGUGGUCCAACAGUUAAUAAGAGUUGCAACAAUGCGGAGGAAAUACCAGCAAUAGAAUCCAAUCGAGGAGAAGAUGAAGAUGAAUGUGCAAUUGAUAUGGUGUCAUUCAGUUGGAGUUUCGGUUCAUCAUAUGUCACAUUCAUCAUGGGGUUUUUCGCGAUACUUUGGAUAAACUCAUACUGGCGCAGAAUGUGGAUCUAUUACAAUCAUGUAUUCACUAGGCCAUACGCGUGAUGUGCUUUUCUGCUAAAACUAGUUCACAAAUGUGAUUUCAUUAAAAUUAGUCUAUACACAUCUUUCCCUUGGCUUUUGUUGGCUCCAACUCCGGACUUUUAUUCAUAUCAUUACUUUAUGUAGUUUCCCCAAAAGGCUUGUGAUGAUUAAUGCAGUUUAUAAAUUAUUACUACUACAAUAAUGAUAUAAUAAAUAAUUUUUUUUAAGUUGUAAAAGUGAGAAAUACUAAAGAGAUCUUUAUUACAUCAUUAAUGUUCGAUCAAGAAUUUCCUCAUCCGAGCUUGCAGUCUGUGGAGGAGACUGUAUCAAUGUCGAAAUUCUCCGGACCGGCACUAUUUGCUGUUUCUCCAUUGAAUAGUGCGUCUUACUACAACAAGGUGAAACACAGCCCAGUGUUCUGAUUGGGCCCAAUGCGAAAAACAUAAAACCCAAAUUUUUGUUGACUUUGGGCCUGCUCAAAUACCAUGCCCAAUUGUGUCUAGUUGUAACAAAAGCGGCGAGAUGUUCAUGCCCAAACCCGCAAGAUUGUUUUAAUAUUUAAAAUUUAACAUGAUUCUAGAAUUUUUGUUAAUAAAAAAUAAACCACCAAGAUUCUAGUGAAUAACAAAUGUAUACAUAUACACGUGCUGUGUAGACCGGGCCAAUUCUUGUGGAAUUCUCCAACAACCAUCCUGAUUCUUGAAUUGCCGCGAAAAUUCCGCAAGCGAUGAACCCUCUCUUACGCACCACUCAUUCUCUAUCACAAUGAUCAAAAUAAAGACGAGGACGGAGACUAUUAAUCACUGAGAGUGAUUUUCUCAAUAUUUGUCAAUCACUACUAAGAUUCAUUGUCAAUCAAUAAUAUCAAUUGACACAAAGAUUGAUUGUCUUUUUUUUUUUUUCGAGAAUAUCAGUGCUUGAAUACAUUAUUUGAUAUAUAUAAUUCAAUGUAAACUCAAUCAUACUCUUAAAUUAUUUUUAUAAAUUCUCAAUAUCAGUCUUUGAUUUUAAUUCGAGUUUUGAUUCAAAUUAAUGCAAGGAUACAAAAGGACUCAAGAGCUUCAUAUAUCAAUUCUAUGUUAUUAACUUAUUAUUUCGGUGUACACCACAAAUUUAUGAGUAAUUUAUUAAAAUGUCUAAACAUAUAUGAAAAAUAGUUGAUUAUUGAUUUUCACAAAUUUCAAUAUAUCAAACAUCCUAUCGAGUUAUUAAUUCCAAAGCACAUUAUUUAAGAAUCAAUGCUAGAAUAAAUUAUUUGAUAAUUUCAAACCCAAAUUUACGCUUAAAUUCUUUAAAUUAUCUCAAUCAACUUUUUUUUUUCUUAGCUGACCAUCUAUAUCAGCUAUUGGAAAAAAAAAUAGAAUUGACGACUACUUGUAUGUUGGCCUAAUUUGAAAGUCAAUCAACAUUUAUUUUCCAUGUAAUGUUAAUGAAGCAUUUCCCUCAUUGGUCCAACAUUGCAACAUGUGGAAUUUCAGGCUUACAAUUCCUCAUUAGUCAUUACAGAUACCGAAAUUGAUUGUCAGACAAUAUUGUCAUUUCAAUAUAUGCCACAAUUUUAUGAGUAAUUUACUAAAAUCUUUAAAUAUAUAAAAUUUGCAUGUGUGUAAUAAACCUGUAUUUAUAUAUAAAAUUUGCAUAUUUAAAUUGCACCUCUCCAUGCAUCAUAUAAAAUGUCAUUUCAAUGUGAUCCACACUUUUAUGAGUUAAUAACUAAAUAUUGUCACUAAAUUUUUCCUAAUUGUUGCAUGCAUUAGAUUUUUUUACGAAAAAAAAAACAUGCUACAUUAAGUGUAAAACAAUUGAGGAAAAGAUUAGAGAACACAAUGAGAAAAGAAAUUUUUUAUACAACCUUUUCAUCAAUAAAAAUCAUAUUCAUACUAAUCAAUUCUUCAUUCCUCUUGGUAUUAACAGACUCUCACAUCCUACAAAAUCUAACCCUUAUCAUCCAACUAUCUUUAUCAUUAUUUAACUCAUGAAGAAAAGAGUACUCCAUGAAGCACACAAUACUAAAAAUUCAAAUAAGUCAAAAAUAAAAAUGCAAGAAUAUUUCUAAGGAGGAUGUUGGUUAAAUAAUAAAAAACCCAAACAUAACAAAUCUUAAAUACUUAAUGUUUAUAGACUUUGAAGAAGUCAAAAGACAUUAAACAAAAUGUUGCAUAAUUAAAUAUGGAAUUAUGACAUUAAAAUUAGGCCCUAAUGGCAUUGGUGAGUGAAGAUGAAGGAACCUUCCUUCCUAUAUUAAUUAGUUGAUGUAUUUUAAGUCACUAAAGUUUAGUUGUUGGCUUAAUAAAAUAAAUGAAUGUUUCAAGACUUAUAAUUAAUUAUUAUUAAUGGUUGCAUAUUAUUGAAUUUAAAUAGAAAGAGGAAGAGACAUGUAAUUUUUUGUAAUCUAAUAAUUAUUUUCUAUUUUGUAAUGUAAUUAUUUUUUAAUCUCAACCAAUAUAUUAGAUAAUAGAGAAUAUAAAAAGAUAAGAAAUAAUGAUGUCACAAAUCUUAAAUACUUAAUGUUUACAGAGUUUGAAGAAGCGAAAAUGCACUAAACAUAAGGUUGCAUAAUUAAAUAUAGGAUUAUGGUAUUAAAAUUAGGCUCUAAUGGCAUUGUUGAGGGAAGAUGAAAGAAACUUUCUUCCUAUAUUAAUUAAUUGAUGUAUUUUAAGCCACUAAAGUUUAAUUGUUGGCAUAAUAAAAUAAAUGAAUGUUUUAAGACUUAUAAUUAAUUAUUAUUAAUGGUUACAUAUUAUUGAAUUUAAAUAGAAAGAGGAAGAGACAUGUAAUCUUUUGUAAUCUAAUAUUUAUUUUCUAUUUUUAAUAUUUUGUAAUGUAAUUAUUUUUUAAUCUCAACCAAUAUAUUAGAUAAUAGAGAAUAUAAGAAUAUGAGAAAUAAUGAUGUCACAUCACCUCUUGUAGUCCCAACUCUCUCUCUCUCUCUCUCUCUCUCUCUCUCUCUCUCUCUCUAUAUAUAUAUAUAUAUAUAUAUAUAUAUAUAUAUACAUACAUAUUAUUUUCUAAAAAGUAUUUCUAAUUGUUUAACGUUUUAUUUAUGAGUAUUUUUAAGAGUUUAAAAAAUAUGGGAAACAGAAUCAAUUUUAUCAAAUAAAAAGAAUAUUGGUCAUUUUCUUCAUAAAGAAAGUGUUAAAAUACUUUUGGUAUUUAAGAAGUAACAAUUUUUUUUUUUGUUUCAUAAAAAAAGCAUUCAAAAUUAUAUUAAAUAAAAUUAAAGAUUAACAAAACUGACGUCUGAAUUUCGUGUAAAUUAUAAUAAGUUUAUCUCCAGCAUGAAUGACAUUAUAGCGUGGCUAGCAUCAUCAAAAUUCUGGUAACAUUCCAAGGUUGUCAAACUAAUCAUCUCAAAAUGUCAUUAUACUUGUAGCGUGCGGGCAUCAUCUUUACUUUCAGCAUCAAAAUUCUUUUAUUUAAUACACUUUUAUUUUAUACAAUUUUUAUCAUAUUAAAAUCCUUUGUAAUUUAAGCUCUCUCGGACUUUUAAAAAUGUUAUGCCACCCCUUCUUUAGCAGUAAUAGUAUAUGAUUAUGAUUUAAUUAUUUUAUUUUUUAAUUUAUCAAACACCAAUCACUUAAAUUUAACCUAAGAAAAAAUUAGAACAUCAGAUAAUUUUAAUUGAUUCUUAUUAAGUACUAGAAUUAACUGCUCCCAAUGAUAAUUUAUUAAGCAAACCAUAGUGAUCAUCUUACACUAAAGAACCAACCCAUCUUCAAAACACAAGAAUUUAGUACAAAUAAUUAUCCCAAUAAAGUUUAACGAAAAAGGAAAGAGAUAUUUUUAUUAUUUCUUUUCCUUUCUUUCAUUUCAAUUUCUUGCCUCCUGAGCUCUUCUAAAAGCCAACCAAACCACUUAUUUAAAAAAAAAAAAAAGGAACCAGACAAAGCGCAAGAAAAAAAAUUAAAAAAUUCGCAGUCUACACACAUCCCAGCACCGUAUGCGUCCAAUAAUUCAUCUCCAAUAAUUGCCCCUAUAUGACCACCGGUUUGUACUUGCAUAUAUGUGAAACAGGAUAAAAUCACAAUGUGUCAUUUAAUUAGCAGAGGUAACAAGAUCCUACAGAAAAGGGUUUACAGGAAAAGAAAGGAAAAAAAAUUGUUACAACAUACAGAAACCCAAAUAUUCUACUGGCUAACCCCCAUUAAAAUUCGAAACCAUUCUUAAAUCUCAGCUUAUACUACUUCAUCAUUCCUUCUGUGUACCCCCAACUGAAUUUCUGGCAGAAAUCACAUUUCUUCGUUAGCCUCAACUCAUGCAUCUUUUACUUUUAAUCAAACAUACUUUUUUAUCUGCUGGGCUUUUUAACAAAGAAUAAUUUUCCUUAGAUCUUUUCUAAUAGACAAGAAAGCACAAAGCACAAAUAUCUAGGAAUGUUUUUGCCCUUCAUCAUAGCACUUGCAAAGGCUCCAGGGUAUAGAAGAACCUUGGCUACAAAUUCCUGGGAAGACUUCACUUAUAAUCAACUGGAAGGAUGUCACCUCUACGGGCGUUGUACAUUUUCCACUUCUACGUGGUAUCCUGCAGAAACAAACAAUAAAACACGUGUUAUACAAGUAUUUUUUAAGUAUGAAAUACAUCAAAAGCAUUUAUGAUGCCAUUAAGUUUAGUCAAUACAAUCUCUCAAGGCAGGACAAGAGAUUUGAGAUUCAAACUCCACCUACGUAGGAAAGGAAUGUCAAAAAGAAAUGCGGUUGGGAUAGGUUAUUACGUUUUAUUCUUUUUAUUACUAGAAUUGAAUAAUGCUGCCUUUGACAGUAAAAUAAACGUCAAGUGAUAAUUGAAUUAUAAAAAAGUGAGGUAAAUGGUGAGAAAUAAUCACCAUUAUAAUUUAUAAUAUAAAAUGAGGAAAUAAUUAUGGAAGAAAUGGAAAGAAUUACCUGAAAAGAGGGAUUUGGAAGACAAUGAGACAAAAAUAUAAGGAAGAAGAAAUCGAAGAUAUAAUGCCUGCCCAUUUCUUUGACGAACCUGUAAAAUGUCGUGAUUGAGGGAAUUAAACCGUAUGACGUUUAUGAAAUACUAACUAGGCAACCCAAGAGGGGGGUGAAUUGGGAUUUUAAAAAUUAUCCUAGGCAAACCACACAACAAUUUAAUCUAAUGCCUUAAUAAAUUCGAAAACAAUAAAUUCAAUAAAAGCACAAUAAUAAAUGAGUAAGGGAAGAGAAAGCAAACCCAAGGAUUUUUACGUGGUUCGGCAAUCCCCGCCUACGUCCACGCCUCCAAGCACACCGGGCUUGAGGAUUUUACUAAGCUAGCCUCCCAAGGCUUCAAACGCUUACAAUUGACUUCCAAGGUGUCAAUGGACCUUUACAACAAGAGAUUAUCCCCAAUCUCUUAACCCAAGUGUAUCCCAACACUUACAAUCUUUUAACUUGAUUUUACAAAAAAGAUUACAAAUGAAUCUCUCUCACACAAUGUGUUUGAUCACAAGUGAAAGCUCAAUGUGUGAAUGAAUGAGAUGAAUACAAAGAUUUAAAGCUCAAUGAAAGUUGUAUUCUCAAUAUUUUGCUCAAUGAUGAUCGUUGGAAUUCUUCUUGUUUGAAUUGGAUUGAGAUUAUUUAUAGUUGGAGCUGAAAAACUAGCCGUUAUAGACUGUCUGCUAGAAAACGGUUCGCCGUUAACCAUUAACGGUUAACCGUUUAGGCCGGUCAAAGUUACCGUUGGGCCAAUUUUCAAAUAAACGGUUAGCCGUUUAUUCUUACCCUUUCGCCGUUAAUUUCCAGAGACCUGCAAAACAAAUUUGGUUUAACCGUUCUUAUUAAACGGUUCAAGGUUAACAAUCUGGAAAUAAUCGGUUAACCGUUUUCAGUAAACGGUUCACCGUUAGUUUCCAGAAUCAUCAUUUUAAUAAUACUUUACAGAACAUGCUUUCUGGAAAUUAUCGGUUAGCCGUUUUAAAUAAACGGUUAGCCGUUUGCUACAGUGAUUGCUACAGUGAAAAUAUUUUCUAAAUUUAUAAUUUAACCCCAAAACUUUAUAAAACUUUAUUACGGCCCAAAACGUUAUGAAACUUUGCACAUAGGUCCAAUUUCAGAAUUUCUAAAUAAUACUUUGUUAAUCCCAAAACUUUUUGAAAUUAUGGUAUAGCCCAAAAUGUUAUGAUACUUUUCAAAUAAGUCCUUUACCAAGAUUUCAAGCAAUACUUGUUUAUUUCAAAGUUUUCAAAAUUCUUUCAAUUAAACCAUAAACUUUGAAAAACAACCAAUUUCAUAAAAUCAUUUUUCCAUUAAAUAUGAAACAUUUAUAAUGUGAAAAUAAUGAUUUAUUUAAAAAGAAUAAAAACAAUCAAUUUCAUAAAAUUAUUUUUCCAUUAAAUAUAAAACAUUUAUAAUGUGAAAAUAAUGAUUUAUUUAAAAAGAAUAUUAAAUAAUUUGAGCUUAAAAGAUUAAUCAUUCUUAAUCUUAUUUGUUAUCAUCAAAAUCAAUAUUAUGAAAAUAUAUAUGUUAACAGUUUACUUUGGCGGCCCCCAGUCUUGUCAAUCAGAGAAUAUGUUUUGGCCGAAAUUCACAAUUCUUACCACGUGAUUUAAUUAAAGCACACAGAAUUCGUAAUUUUCUCCAGACAAUUUAAAUUAAACCCGCACUCUUUAUGGACUCCACUUUUAAGAAGGAUAUUGCCCACCGAGCAAACUAACCAAAACUCUUUUCCCUUCUGCGUUCAUUCUCCAACUCGUUGUCACUUUGUUUUGCUCUUCCUCUCUAUAUGAUUUUUAAGAACUAUUAAAUGUUUGUUUGUUUCUUAAAAAAAAUGUUUGUUUUUUUUUGUAUUAGAUGAUUAUAAAUAUUUAUUUAAUUUUAUAUUUUUUUAAAUUUUUUAUUAUUGUUUCAUUAUUUUUUAGUAAAUUUUUAAAAAUUAAAUAAAUUAUUUUUAUUUCUGUUAAUAAAAAUUUAAACUUUAAAUUUUUGAGGGAUGAGAUUUAUUUUUUUUAAAUAUUAAAAUACUUAAAAUAUCUUUUAUUUAUGUAAUAAUUUUAUUUUAUUUUUUUGUUAAAUAAUUUUAAAAAAAAUUAUUUAUUAAAAUAAUUUUAUAAUUUUUAAUAAAAACUCUUAUUAUCAAUUAAAUAACUAAAAUUAUUUUCAUAAAAACUUUUAUAAUAAAAAUCCUACCACACCGCAGAGUCUGCACUUACCUGCGCGUACUGUUUAAAACCCCUCACCGGCUCUGCUCUCGCCACCAAUAUUAAGAAAGAUACUUUGUUGUGGUGGCAUUUUGGUAAAAAAUAUGGGCCCCCAAAAUAAUCAUAAUAAUUAAGGAUUUAGCUAUGUGGCAACGGGUACACCAUACACUUUUUUUUUUUUUUUUUUUGUGCUGCCACAGUUAGAUCCAACACAAAAGUAGUAUUAAGAGCAAGAUGUGUUUGUUUGUUUAUUAACAAUGCAAUCCCUAAUAUUUGUCAAAAAUUUUAAAAAGUUAAAGUUUAUAAAAUUUUGUGCCAAUAUUUUUUUCCCAAAUUCUCUUAGCACAAUUAAUUGUGUUAUGGUAUCCACUUUUGCAGGUUAUAAUCAAGAGAUCAGACAUGAUAGAUACAUAAAAAAUAAUAUAAAAUAAAAAAAUUUUGAAUUUUUGUUAAAGCUCUCAUUUCUAAUAAUUUGUUAAAAUAUUCUUUUACCUAAGAAAACAAACUCAUUGACAUAAUAAAAAGAGUUUUACUGAUAAAAUAAUAAUUAUUCAAUUAUUAGAAGUGCUACAGUUAGAUUUUUUUAAGUUGAAAAUGUAGAGAAGCAUGGAGGAGAAGAGGAGAAGAAGACACAUAAUAAAACAUAAAAAUUUUCAAUUUAUUUAUACCUGAAUUCCAUUGUAUGAUGAAUAGAUUGUAGGUACAAAAAUAUAUUUAUGUGAUUUUCUUUUAUAUAAAAAGUUCAAUUCAUUAUUGCUUAUAUGAUAUAGAGCAAAUUAAUCUUAAGGUAAUGAGAAAGUAGCUUCAAUGAGAAUGCCAAGCUUCUCUUAUUGAUUGUAAUUGAUUGAUUACAUAUUUAAUUAAAAAAAUUCAAAAGGACGUAGAGGUGAGGGUUUUGAAGAAAGAGAAAAAAGAAAUUACUUCAAUAAUUUGUAAAUACAGAAGAGAUUAGGGGGUCAAAAAAUACAAAAAGUAGGGUAUGGUGGACCCAUUGUACCGUAGCUCAACUCAAGCCAAUAAAUUAAUUGUUUUAUCCUAUAAAUAAAAAUUAAUGUUGUGUAUUUGCCUAUAACUUGAGGAGGUAAUAAAAGUCUUUCGUUAUACUCUACUGUUAGUUUCUCGCCUUUUAUUCCUCUGAAAUCUUUCAACAAAAAUGGGUGGCGUCAUCUCAACCUUCUUAUCAGCGGACACAAUUCGUCCAAUUUUAUCUUACGUUGGUGGAGAAGCUAAGUAUAUAUGGGGUCUAAAAGAUAAUCUUGAUGACUUGCAGACUCAGAAGGAGAAGUUGAUUGAGAAAAAAGAAGAUAUGCUGAAUGAGGUU